GAUGAACGCUAGCGGCAGGCUUAACACAUGCAAGUCGAGGGGUAACAUUGGUGCUUGCACCAGAUGACGACCGGCGCACGGGUGCGUAACGCGUAUAGAACCUACCUUUUACUAAGGGAUAGCCCAGAGAAAUUUGGAUUAAUACCUUAUAGUAUUAUUGAAUGGCAUCAUUUAAUAAUUAAAGAUUUAUUGGUGAAAGAUGGCUAUGCGUUCUAUUAGUUAGUUGGUAAGGUAACGGCUUACCAAGACAUCGAUAGAUAGGGGUCCUGAGAGGGAGAUCCCCCACACUGGUACUGAGACACGGACCAGACUCCUACGGGAGGCAGCAGUGAGGAAUAUUGGACAAUGGAGGCAACUCUGAUCCAGCCAUGCCGCGUGUAGGAAGACUGCCCUAUGGGUUGUAAACUACUUUUAUAUAGGAAGAAACGGUAUCACGUGUGGUACUUUGACGGUACUAUAAGAAUAAGGAUCGGCUAACUCCG
rnacentral:rRNA from 1 species